AUAUGAGUUUCUGAGUGCUAAAGAUAUAUGUUGGUUUAUAUGUAUUGGUCGCGAUCGUGGGACUAUUGUAUGUAUUUCGAUAAUGUUAAUUAGCUGAAUGUUUCGAUAAUAUGAUUGCGAAAUUAAUUUCAAAUUACAUGACAUUUAAUUAACAAUGCACCAUGACUUUUCUAUAUAAGAAACGCCUCGGGUUAUAUCUUACAUGUUUGAGAAAAUGAAGGCUUUUCUGCUAUAUGUUUUUCUUUUAGUGAUUUUCCAAUCAUCAGCAUGGCAUCACAAUCAUCACAGAGGCAUACACAUAACACCGAAUUCUGUCGAAAUUUACGAGCAACCUGAUGAUUUUUUGAUUUACAAAACGAUGAAAAAAUCCAAUUUAAGAGCUGAUGAUGACAUGCGCGUGAUUGCGGAUCACGUGAUGCAAUUAUCCGAUAGGUUGCAAAAAUAAAGGAUGAUAUAUU